UACGUAGGGGGCGAGCGUUGUCCGGAUUUAUUGGGCGUAAAGAGCUCGUAGGCGGUCUGUCGCGUCUGCUGUGAAAACUCAGGGCUUAACCCUGAGCUUGCAGUGGGUACGGGCAGACUAGAGUGCGGUAGGGGAGACUGGAAUUCCUGGUGUAGCGGUGAAAUGCGCAGAUAUCAGGAAGAACACCCGUGGCGAAGGCGGCUCUCUGGGACGGUACUGACGCUGAGACGCGAAAGCGUGGGGAGCAAACAGG
rnacentral:rRNA from 1 species